UACGUAGGGGGCAAGCGUUGUCCGGAUUCAUUGGGCGUAAAGCGCGCGCAGGCGGCCGGCAGAGCCCGGCGUGAAAGCUCCCAGCUUAACUGGGAGAGGUCGUCGGAGACCUGGUGGCUAGAGGCCGGUAGGGGUGAGCGGAAUUCCCGGUGUAGUGGUGGAAUGCGUAGAGAUCGGGAGGAACACCGGUGGCGAAGGCGGGUCUCUGGGCAGUAACUGACGCUGAGGAGCGAAAGCGUGGGGAGCGAACAGG
rnacentral:rRNA from 1 species